CACUUGUGUGCGCACAAACCGUUGCGUUUCAAACAAGCGCAGCACAGGAGGCAAAGGAGAGCCGGAGGAAUCGGACGCGGAACACACGCGAUAAUGGAUUGAAAGGAGAAAAUUAGAAAUCGAAUCAAUGUCAGCAGAGGAAUUGGCAGACUUGAACCUCAAACCGAACUGUGAAAGAGUACCACGAUUGAUGAGGAUCUGAAUAUUGUCAACAAAUGAAUGUGGUAGCAUUCAGAUAUCCUAAUUCUUGCUCCAGGAUGACCAGAAGGAAUCUCCCAGCCAUUCUAGAUACUCCUGCAAACACCAACAGCAGCCAAAGUCCAGAGGACAGAGCCGCUGGAUUCACCUGACUGUAAAUGAUGGGCCCCCGCAAAAGGAUUAAAGCCUGCUAUUGGACUUUCCAUUGUCAUGGCCGCCUUUACAGCUUUAAGCCGAAAGAACAAUUUGUGUUUUUUUAAGGCUCAUAUCCUUUUAUUUGGAAACCGCACUGUGUGUAACCCACUUGCCCUGUCAGUAGAGACGUUAUUUGUAGCCACCCCUGGAUGGACCCCCUUUGACUAAGACAUGACUAACGACUCAUGCAGAGGCCAGACUGGUUCAUACCGAUGAAGUAUUCACAGGAGAUGUGUAGAGCUGAUAAACUUAAACAAGACACAGUCCCCCAGUGUUUGAACCCGCUAAGUUACCCGCUUUGCUUUUCAGGACAGGGUGCGUAUAUGCUCUAGUCCCCAGUGACACCACCUGUGUGCAGACGCAGUGCUCCCGCCAACAUUGCCAUGUGAACCAAGGCCUGUUUACAUGCACUUGCGAUGAGCAAAGAUGUCUUAACAUAACUGGCGGUAGACAGUUUAUUUGUGGCCAAUGAAAUUGGACACGUCAGUUCAGCCACCUGGACGUAUCCAUUUGAUACCUACUAACCGAUGGGAUCAGGCGGAGACUCCAGCCAGCCGGAGAACUCGUGGUACAAACAAUUUGCGCAGGGCAGAAAAAUAAUCAUGAAGUCAAAUGCUAUUGAGCUAAAAAAGUCUUCGUGUUCCUCCUGAAUGGGGUAUACACAACAGCCACUCCAAACCUUCCAAUCCUCUUUGCCAUUGGUACUAUCAGACCACUUGCUGUCCCAUGCCCCCAUCGAGGACAUACCCAUAGGAAGACAGUGGCCGGAACCAUUAGCGCACAAUUUUGUGCAGCCUGAGAGGACCCAGUCUCAAUGGGGUCCUCACUUGGCUCCGGGUUCCUCGGACCCCAGUCUCUAGGGAGAUCACUGGGAGUCAUUAGUGUUAAAAGUAGAAACUACCUUAUUUGUAGAUUAACCGUCCUUCUCCUUGGAGGCAGAGCAGUAUGGUGCUGGCUCGAAGGGCUGAAUGGCCUACUCCAGCACCUAUUGUCUAUUGUAUUGGCAGGCUCUGGCAUCCCACUGCUUGGAUUGACCUAAUCUCUGCUCUCCCACCUUUAUGGUGUGGUCAUGGAAUGACCAAAGUGGGGAGAUGAGAAUCUGAAACUUGGAUACAGGUGCAAGAUGGCUUCUCGGUGCAAGUUAGCAACAAAAUGGCUUCUAGCCUGGGAACUGUAAAUUCUGCUAGAGCUGCUCUUUUAGCCUUGGAACUCUGAGUUCUGCUAGAGCUGCAUAAAUAAUGCAGUAAUGAUAAGAUAAUGCAGUACUAACCAUUCUAGCUGACCUUCAGUAGCAAAUGUUAUGGUGCUAUAUGGCGAGACAAAAAGUAACCUAAACAUUGUGACUUAAGUUGUUUACCAGUUAAUACUAUUGGAUUAUGUAACUGUCAAUGAAGCAAUAUCAUGUAUUGAUUGGUAAUUGUUAGAAUACACUAUGCGAUCACGCCAUGUACCCUGCUUUAAGAAAAGUAUAAAAAUGUCUUUGUAUUAAGUUGUGUGUGCAGCUCCUCUGAGGAAUACAGAAGUGCUCAACUUCUGUGUUUUCCGGAUGAUCUGUACCCGGCCAAUUGAAGAAAUAAAGAGUAAAGUGCGAGUGUUCAUUGACUGAGCACGGAAUCGAGGGACCCCACCAGGGGUCGAGAUUUACGGUUACAUUCUGCUAUUAAUUAUAUUUGGGAAUGAACAUAUUUCAUUGUUGCCCAUUUCUACUGAUGAUAAAUUGACUUGCCUUCAAACGUAGGGUUUUAUUUUCCAGAUAAAAGUCAAAUAAAUUAGCUUUGUGUUUAACACAACUUAUAUUUGGUUUUCAAAUGUCCCAAGCACACGUGAAUUUCUCUUGGUGAUAACAAGGUGUGGAGCUGGAUGAACACAGCAGGCCAAACAGCAUCUUAGGAGCACAAAAGCUGAUGUUUCAGGCCUAGACCCUUCUUUUGGCCUUCUUAGCGAGAGGAUUCAGAUACAGGAGCAGGCAAACAUUGGAUUUGCCAUUGGCCUGUAUUGGCAUUAAGCACGAAUUGACCUUGGAUCUCAUUUGGGCUGAGGCAGCUGAAGGAUGUGAGGGAUGUUCUUGCCAAUCCCUAAUUGCUGAGAGGGACAGUUAAGAGUCAAAUACAUUCUUUUGAGUCUGACGUCACAUGUAUUUCAGACCAGACUGCUUCGAUCUCGGUGUAGUAGUGAAUGUUGCUGAACAUUUUUGGAAUCGUUGAUGACCAGCACACUUCUGAAUUCGUGAUCGAGGGAAGAAUACUGAUGGUAUGGCUGCUGAUGACUCUCAGUGCCUCGUGGAUGCCCAGUUUCAAUCUUCCCAGUCCUUUAGAAGUAUGUCCGACCAUGCAGGAGGUACUGCUAUGUAACACAGUGGAUGGUAUCUUCACAAUGAGGCUGAAAUCUUCCGUCCACCAGGACCAUGUACUGGGUGCUCCUACAGAUACUGUUUGAGACAGAUACAUCUGUGACAAUCAUAAACCUGAGUCAGGCAAGCCAUAAAUGUGUGAGGGUCAGUAUGGCUUCGGUGAGUUGGAAAAGUAAAGACAAUCAAAAAAGAAAUUCGUAAAGAGAACAAGAAUUCAAACUAAGAAGAAACGUAAAGACUACCGUAAAGUAAAAAUGAAAACAAAGUAAAAUAUGGAACAGUGAAUGUGCGGACAGGAAAGUUUAUUGUAGAAAACAGAAAAUACAAGGAAACUAAACAGUUACUUUGUGCCUGCCUUCAUGGAAGAAGAUUCAGAAAGUCUCCUGGAAAUAUUAAGUGACUGUAGGACAUGUGUAACUAAAGACUGCAAUCAUUCAGAGCAGUGACAUGGUGGCAUUUGAAAGGAUACCUGGAUUAAGCAUUGAUAAAACUGAUGGACCAGAUACAUUUCAUAGUAGAAUUUCAGAGCAAGCGACAAUAGGCAUAUCGAGCGUUUGGCAUCAUUGUGUUAUUUUCCUAUACAUUCUGCAAAGUCAGGAAGCCAAUCUGGAUAACCCGAAGGUUAUAAAUAUAAUUCAAUGGUUUAAGAAGGGAAGAAGAGGGAGAUGGCAAACUGGAUACCAAUUAACUUGUCAUCCGUGGUUGAGAAUCUUUUGGAUAUAUUGUUAAGUAUGGGAUAUUGGAUAUUCAGAAAGUAACACCAAAAUUAGAGAAGAAAACUGAUGUAUUUAUGAAAGGAAAAUUCCAAUUGACAGGAUUUUUUUCAGAUUGUUUGAAGUUUUUUGCCAACACGGACAAUGGAAAACCAGAGGAUGUGAUAUAUUUGGAUAUGCAAGAGGAUUUUCUAAGAGUUUACACGAUGAGUUCAAAAAUAAAAUUGGAAUAAAGUAUAUAUGGUGGAAUAUAUGCAAAUCGAAAGGUGAAAGUUAGGUUUAUCUUCAUGUAAAGGGUAUUGGAAUAUAGAAGUAAACAUGUCUCGCAGGAGUAGCAUAGACAGUUGGUGAGACUGUACCUGAAGUAUUGUGUAGAGUUUUCUAAGAAAGAAUAUACUGAACAAAGGGGAAGUGAAAUGCAUAAUGUCCAGCUUAAUCUCUCAGAUGGCAAGAUUGUCUGAUGAGGAAACCCAUGGUAUUUUGAUGUCCCAGUCUAAGAAAUAAUACACUGACCACAGAGGAAGUGCAAAGGGCAAGAUUACCUGAUGAGGAAACUCAGCCUGUGUUCUCUAGAUUUUUAAAGUUUGAGAGUGAUAACAGUGAAAUUUAGAAAACACAGACAGAGAGGACAAACUAAAGGGCAUGGAGAAGUGCAAGCAGGGAAGGUUAGGGAGAAUCCCAAAAUAUUCUAUAUGUAAAUAAAACGGAACAUAACGACCUAAGAACAAUUUGGACCAAUUAGAAACCAAGGGGCAAUCCCUCUGUGGAGCUGGAGAAUAUUGAUACUUUGUCACAUGAGUAUUUUGCAUCUCUUUUACUUGCAUCCUCCUUCUCCCAAGUAUAUAAUUUGAUAAAAUGGACUGUGAAGCUCUUGAGCAGAUUGAUUUAAGAUGUGAGCAGGGAUUGAUGGUUUUGACUGAUGUAAAAUUGUACAAGUUCCCAAGUCUGAAUGAAUUGUAUCAUAGGAUGUUGUCGCAGACAAGAGAGGAAAGGCUCUGGCCCAAAUUUAUAGGAAUCCCCACAGGGGAGGUGCCAGAGGACUGGAGAACAGCUGAUGCAUUUCCCAUUUAUGAGAAGGGUGGUCGAGAUAAACCGGGGACUGUCGACCAAUAAGCAUCAGAUCGGUGUUGGGGAAAACAUGGGAGGAAUAAGAAUGUAGGAAAUUGAUCUACAUUUAUCGAGGCAAGGUUUGAUUAGGGAUAGUCAGCAUGAUAGUUUCAGAGCAAAGUCAUACUUAACAAAUUUGAUUUUUUUUUAAAGUUUGUCGUUUCUAUGGUUUUUCAGCAAGGUCUUUUGACAAAGUCCCACAUGGAAAACUGUUAAAGAAAAUAAAAUUUCAUUCUAUCAAGUAUGACUGGGCAUCCAAAAUUUUCUUAAUCACAGGAGACAGAGAAUGGUGAUAGGAUGUUGUUAGUGUGUGUGAAAGAAUAAUUAAAACAUAAAGAGAGAAUGUAGCUAAAGAUUAGAAUUAGAGGAUGGAAUGAUGGGAAAAUAGGUCAAGUAAGAUAUAUAAUGACAAAUUAUUGUGAGACUGCAGAAAACUCUAGACCAUGUUGUACCAUGUUGCCUCACGCUUAAGUUAAUUCCGCUUGAGUAACGUCUCAGUAAUCACAUGUUAUGAGAUCAUGACCGAUGGCCUGCCUCGAGAGGAUGUGAUAAAGUGUACUUGCUUGCUCGCACGCUUGUAAGUCGCCUCUUCCUGUAUUAAAAAAAACUAUUCUAUUUCAGUAUUCUGCGGAGACUACGAGUCUAACCGUUUGUCAGCGUUGGCUCCUCGUGAAAUUACGAAUAAAGCCUCUUUACCUCGA